rnacentral:rRNA from 1 species
UUGUCUUUUAAAUAAAGACCAGUAUGAAUGGCAAGACGAAAGUUCAACUGUCUCCCUAAAUUAAUCAAUGAAAUUGAUCUUCCCGUGCAGAAGCUGGAAUAAAAUUAUAAGACGAGAAGACCCUAUGGAGCUUUAAAUAUAUGAUCAACUGUAUAAUAUAAAAUUCAAUAGAUUAAGCAUUAAAUAAAACAUUAUGAUCAAAAUUUUAGGUUGGGGCGACCACGGAGAAAAACAAAACCUCCGAGAUGAAAAGAGUAUCUUAAUUUAUGAACUACAGUUCUAAUAAAUAAAAUAUUUAACAUAAUUGAUCCAAUUUAUUGAUCAACGAACUAAGUUACCCUAGGGAUAACAGCGCAAUCCUUUCCAAGAGUCCCUAUCGACGAAUGGGUUUACGACCUCGAUGUUGGAUCAGGACACCCCAAUGGUGCAGCCGCUAUUAAAGGUUCGUUUGUUCAACGAUUAAAGUCCUA